GGGUGAGUAAUGCAUCGGAACGUGCCAUUGAGUGGGGGAUAACGUAGCGAAAGUUGCGCUAAUACCGCAUAUUCUGUGAGCAGGAAAGCAGGGGACCGCAAAGCCUUGCGCUCUUUGGGCGGCCGAUGUCAGAUUAGCUAGUUGGUGAGGUAAAGGCUUACCAAGGCGACGAUCUGUAGCGGGUCUGAGAGGAUGAUCCGCCACACUGGAACUGAGACACGGUCCAGACUCCUACGGGAGGCAGAGUGGGGAAUUUUGGACAAUGGGGGCAACCCUGAUCCAGCCAUGCCGCGUGAGUGAAGAAGGCCUUCGGGUUGUAAAGCUCUUUCGGCCGGGAAGAAAUCGCAUGGGCCAAUACCCUGUGUGGAUGACGGUACCGGAAUAAGAAGCACCGGCUAACUACGUGCCAGCAGCCGCGGUAAUACGUAGGGUGCGAGCGUUAAUCGGAAUUACUGGGCGUAAAGCGUGCGCAGGCGGUUUUGUAAGACAGGCGUGAAAUCCCCGGGCUUAACCUGGGAACUGCGUUUGUGACUGCAAGGCUAGAGUACGGCAGAGGGGGGUUGAAUUCCACGUGUAGCAGUGAAAUGCGUAGAGAUGUGGAGGAACACCAAUGGCGAAGGCAGCCCCCUGGGUCGAUACUGACGCUCAUGCACGAAAGCGUGGGUAGCAAACAGGAUUAGAUACCCUGGUAGUCCACGCCCUAAACUAUGUCAACUAGGUGUUGGGUUGGUAAAACCAUUUAGUACCGUAGCUAACGCGUGAAGUUGACCGCCUGGGGAGUACGGCCGCAAGGUUAAAACUCAAAGGAAUUGACGGGGACCCGCACAAGCGGUGGAUGAUGUGGAUUAAUUCGAUGCAACGCGAAAGACCUUACCUACCCUUGACAUGCCAGGAACUUGCCAGAGAUGGCUUGGUGCCCGAAAGGGAGCCUGGACACAGGUGCUGCAUGGCUGUCGUCAGCUCGUGUCGUGAGAUGUUGGGUUAAGUCCCGCAACGAGCGCAACCCUUGUCGUUAAUUGCCAUCAUUUAGUUGGGCUCUUUAACGAGACUGCCGGUGACAAACCGGAGGAAGGUGGGGAUGACGUCAAGUCCUCAUGGCCCUUAUGGGUAGGGCUUCACACGUCAUACAAUGGUCGGUACAAAGGGUUGCCAAGCCGCGAGGCGGAGCCAAUCCCAGAAAGCCGAUCGUAGUCCGGAUUGCAGGCUGCAACUCGCCUGCAUGAAGUCGGAAUCGCUAGUAAUCGUGGAUCAGCAUGUCACGGUGAAUACGUUCCCGGGUCUUGUACACACCGCCCGUCACACCAUGGGAGCGGGUUCCGCCAGUAGUAGGUAGCCUAACCGCAAGGGGGGCGCUUACCACGGCGGGGUUCGUGACUGGGGUGAAGUCGUAACAAGGUA
rnacentral:rRNA from 1 species